GGAGGGAUCGCAUAGUGGUCGAGUGCGCCCGCUUGGAAAGCGGGUAGGGUGCAAGCCCUCGGGAGUUCGAAUCUCCCUCCCUCCG
rnacentral:tRNA from 1 species